AAGUCGUAACAAGGUUUCCGUAGGUGAACCUGCGGAAGGAUCAUUAACACAAGUAAAAAAACAUUUUUACAACACCCUAUUAUGAAUUUAAAUUUUUUAAUUUUAAUUUUUUUUUUAUAAAACUACAAAAAAAUAUUUAAUUUAUUUGACUAACAUUUUUUUAAUUAAUUUAUUUAAAAUUUUAUAAAACAACUCUUAACAACGGAUAUCUUGGCUCUC
rnacentral:misc_RNA from 1 species